GACGAACGCUGGCGGCGUGCCUAAUACAUGCAAGUUGAGCGAUGAAGAUUGGUGCUUGCACCAAUUUGAAGAGCAGCGAACGGGUGAGUAACGCGUGGGGAAUCUGCCUUUGAGCGGGGGACAACAUUUGGAAACGAAUGCUAAUACCGCAUAACAACUUUAAACAUAAGUUUUAAGUUUGAAAGAUGCAAUUGCAUCACUCAAAGAUGAUCCCGCGUUGUAUUAGCUAGUUGGUGAGGUAAAGGCUCACCAAGGCGAUGAUACAUAGCCGACCUGAGAGGGUGAUCGGCCACAGUGGGACUGAGACACGGCCCACAUUCCUACGGGAGGCAGCAGUAGGGAAACUUCGGCAAUGGCCGAAAGUCUGGCCGAGCAACGCCGCGAGAGUGAAGAAGGUUUUCGGCUCGUAAAACUCUGUUGGUAGAGAAGAACGGUGGUGAGAGUGGAAAGCGCAUCAAGUGACGGUAACUACCCAGAAAGGGACGGCUAACUACGUG
rnacentral:rRNA from 1 species